rnacentral:tRNA from 1 species
AUCCCGACCAUUUCCGACGCGCCGUUUAAUCAUUUGAGAUAGUAUUUCAGUAUGUAUGCCUAUGUAUAUAGGGUU